rnacentral:lncRNA from 1 species
UUUAAAUCUAAUUUCCACAAGAAACUCCCCUCCCCUGCAAAAGUGAGCAAGACUGAAAAUGUAAAGAUGGAAAAUAAUUUUCCAAGCAAGUGGAGUGUGGAGGCAGGGAGAAGUCACUAUGUUUAUAUAUGACAAACACACUGAAGCCAAAGCCAGGCACAAGAGACAAACAAGGUCACUCUAUGUUCAUCAAGGGAAAUACAGCAAGAAGGUAUCACAAAGUCACCAAUACAUAUAAAUACACGAAUAUUGGAGCACCCAAUUUUAUCAAACACUACUAGACAAAAAGGAAGCCAUAGGCUCCAGAAAAAUAAAAAUAAAGAUGACUUCAGAGCCCAUCUCUCUGGGAGGUAGAUCUUCCAGAUGAACAAUCAACAAGGGAAUGUCAGAGUUAAGUGGCACUAUGGGAUGAGUGAACUUAACAGACAUUGAUAGAAUAGGCCAUGCAACAGCUGUGGGGUACACAUGCCACUCACCAGCACAAGGAACAUUCCCCAAGGUAUAUUAUGUAUUAGGCCAUAAAGCAAGUUUUUUAAAAUACCAAAAAAUCUUAUAUGCUUUCCAAUCACGAUGAGAUGAAACCAGAAACUAAGAGCAGAAGAACUACAGAAACCUCACAAACACUUGAAGAUUACGCCUCACACCAUCAAACAAGUGAAAAAUCCCUAGAGUCAGAAGAAUAUGGAAAGACAACAUAUCAGAACUUGUGGGAUCCAGAAACAGCACUAUGAAAAGGAAAGACUACAGAAACCCGUACCUAAAAGACAAAAGAGAGAGACCUCAAGUAAAUUGCCUGGUGAUGGCUCAGGAAAACAAAAACCAGUCUAAAAUCAGGAGAAGGAAAGAAAUAAUCAAGAUUAGGGUGAAAAAAUCCAAUAGAAAGUAGAGGAGCACCACCAAAGUUCAAGGGAACAAAGAGUAGUUCUUUGAAAGCAUAAAGCAAAGGUGGCAAAACUUUAGCUAAAUUAACAAAAGAAAAAGAGAUUAGACCCAGACCAAUACAAUGAAACUUGAAAAGGGAGGUCUUACAACAGAUUCCAAGGAAAUUCAAAGGAUCAUUAGGGAGGAUUUUGAACAACUACAUGCAAAUAUGUUGAAAAAUCUAGGAGAAACCGACAAAUUUAGGGACCCAAAAUGAAUCAAGAAGAUAUAAACAUUCAGAUAAUAGGAGGGACAAGUAAGGAGACUGCAGUAGGGUCUUAUGACAGAGAUAAGCUCAAUGGAGUCAAUGCUGAAUUUGACCAGAUUCUAGAAGAAGCAAUAACACCAGUAUCAUGUUACCCAAAAUAUUCCAAAGCCUAGACGUGGAAGGAAGUUGUCUAAACUCAGCCUCCAAGUUCACUGUGUUCCUGAUUUAAAACCAGACCAGGCCAGAACCACAACUAUGAGCAGAACAAUGUAAGGGGGACGUCCCUGCCCAGGAAUGGAACCAGGUGUUGUGGGGGGAUGGAGACAGUGGUGAGUGCAGUGCAGGUCUAAGAAG